rnacentral:tRNA from 1 species
GUCUCGGUAGUCUAAAGGUUUAAGACGCUCGCAUGGAAUGCGAGAGAUCAGGGUUCGACUCUUGAUCAAGGCA